CCUGCCAGUAGUCAUAUGCUUGUCUCAAAGAUUAAGCCAUGCAUGUCUCAGUACAAGCCAAAUUAAGGUGAAACCGCGAAAGGCUCAUUAAAUCAGUUAUGGUUCCUUAGAUCGUACCCACAUUUACUUGGAUAACUGUGGUAAUUCUAGAGCUAAUACAUGCAAACAGAGCUCCGACCGGAGACGGAAGGAGUGCUUUUAUUAGAUCAAAACCAAUCGGCGUCAGUAGCGUUACGGCGUUAUUGUUCGUCGCACUUUCUGGUGACUCUGAAUAACUUUUGGCUGAUCGCACGGUCUUGAACCGGCGACGCAUCUUUCAAAUGUCUGCCUUAUCAACUGUCGAUGGUAGGUUCUGCGCCUACCAUGGUUGUAACGGGUAACGGGGAAUCAGGGUUCGAUUCCGGAGAGGGAGCCUGAGAAACGGCUACCACAUCCAAGGAAGGCAGCAGGCGCGCAAAUUACCCACUCCCGGCACGGGGAGGUAGUGACGAAAAAUAACGAUACGGGACUCAUCCGAGGCCCCGUAAUCGGAAUGAGUACACUUUAAAUCCUUUAACAAGGACCAAUUAGAGGGCAAGUCUGGUGCCAGCCGCCGCGGUAACUCCAGCUCUAAUAGCGUAU
rnacentral:rRNA from 1 species